CUCACUCUCAUCCGUCCUCUCUCUCACUCGUAAUCUCCAACCGUAGCUCUAAACCAAACCUUCUCUCACUCGUAAGGGAAACGCAGCAUCGCAAACCAUCAACUCAUCCUUCAACCGUGACGAUCCCGAUAUCAAUUGGCGAUUCUCCCUAAAUCUCAAACCCCGGUAUGGAUUCGUCCCCAAAUCCGUAACCCAGUGUCGAUUCAUCCCCAAAUUCCAGACAUCGGUUCGCGCAAAAUCUCUUGAAGAAUUGGUACCACCAUCGAAGGUUCAUUCUUCCACUUCAACCGAUUUCGUCGAUGCCGAUUCGCCGAUUCUUCGUUCGUCAAAGUCUAUCCUCUGCUAUUUAGUUUGGAAGUGAUGUUGGUGAAGCCUUGGAACCACAACGAAAGCUUCAGUUUGGAGUGUUUGAAUGUGACAUGCUAAAGUGUGAGGGAGUUAUAGAAGAGUUUCUUUUAGAAGUAAUCCUAAAUCCUAAAUAAUGAAGUGAUCCUAAAUCCUAAUCAAACUACUAGUGAUAAGUAUUUUGUUGUGCAGAAUCUUAUCAAGGUAAUGAAAUUAUAAUCAAAAUCAAAACUUUUCUUUUGAUUUAAAGUCUCUGCAAGUGGUUGAAUCUUAAUACUUUAUAAUGUCAUGAGUAAAGUGCUUUCAACUAGUCAACUAUGUGAAGAUGGAAAUGUAACAAUAUUAUUUGGACAGAGAACAUCACAAUACAGAGAAUAUCCAUCCAACUCUGCUUUGAGUUUAAUAAAUAGAAGGAAAAUUGAACUCCAAAAGUCAUAGGCCAAAGUGAGUGUGUGGAAGAGUGAAGCAACAGAGCAGGUGUUCGAUGAUCCCACGUCAUUAUCGGAGGAGGAGCUGUAUGAAUUGCGAAACAGCUGGGCAACUUGUUUUCUUGACUUAUAUAAUCCCGAGGUGGAUUAUGAUGUUGCCGAUGAUGAGGCUUAGGAGCUAGCUAGGUUAAUUUGUGUGAUGUUAGGUAUUUUGCUUAGGAGCUAGUUGUAUGAAUUAUGAUGUUUUGCUUGAAUUGUGGUAUUUUGCUUGACAUUUGGCAUGUAAUGACAUUUGGUAUUUUGCUUGAAUUGUAAUGUAAUUGUAUUUUGGUUG